CUAAACAAAACUAGAUUUUAGGAAUUUGUCCCGCCGCAAGCGCGAAACCUGAAUUCUGAAACUUCACCGUGCGAAGCCUAACGAACUGAAACCCUAAACUCCAAUGGACGCUCUCGAGUCAUUGGACCUACCAAAUCCGCCCGAAAGUGCUUCUCAAUCUGGUGCAGUCGAUACUAAUAAAUCUGAGAAGCGAAAGCGAGAGGAUUCGGACUUAGAGCCGGAGCAAACAGCACCUCAGCAGCAGCACCCGCUGUGGAAAACGAGUCUCUGCUCAUACUUUCGGAGUUCUAACGGGUCGUGCAACCACGGGGAUACGUGCCGCUACGCCCAUGGAGAGGUGGAGCUCAGGUCCAGACCCGACAACACCUGGGACCCGACAUCCGAACGGGCAAAGAAGAUGGCGAAGAAAGAGCCAGACAAUGCAAAUUUAAUGGAGGCGGAGGGUGGCGUUAUGAUGACGGAUGCAGUUGCGACGGUGCCGGAAGGGGAGGAGGCUUGUUCCUCUGGGCUGUCUAAGUGCUUGGUGAAUUUACCCAUGAAGUGGGGUGCGGACAAGUUGAGGAAUUUUCUUAAUGAGCAGGGAAUUCUGUUUGAAUCAGCCAAGAAAAAACAAGGGAUGGUUGUUGGAUUUGUUACAUUUAAAAGUGCAGAACAAGUUAAAACUGCUGUAGAGGAGUUGGACGGGAAGUCUGUUGGAAAUAAUAGGACUAUAAAGGUUACUGAAGUCAUUUCACGUUCAUUUGGUAAGAAAAAUGAAGAGGCCGAGUUGAACAAUGAUCAGGCUGACGAUUCAAAUGGUGUCAGUUUAGCUGCUGAUGGUUCAGCCUCAAAAGGUAGAAGUGUCCGUGAUGUGGUCACUCCUCUUGCUCACAUGGCCUAUGCUGAUCAGCUAGAGCACAAGAAGAAUUCUCUAAUGCAAACUCUCAAAAGAUUAACUCGAAAUGCGCGUAAAGCUUGUCCUAAUGGCGUCUCACUUCCAGAAUGGAUUCUCAAAUCUAGAGAAAUAGGUGGUCUUCCAUGCAAGUUAGAAGGUAUACUUGAAUCACCACUUGUUGAUGGAUACCGAAACAAGUGCGAGUUCUCUGUUGGAUAUUCUUUGCAAGGCAGACCUACUGUGGGAUUUUUACUUGGGAAUUUCAGGGAAGGUGUGACUGCUAUCGAGGAGCCUGUAGACUGCCCAAAUGUUUCUAGAAUUGCUUGCAAAUAUGCUGCUAUCUUUCAAGAAUUUUUACAGCAGUCAGGGAUGCCUAUAUGGAACAGAUUGAAUAAUACUGGAUUCUGGCGUCAACUUACGGUUCGUGAAGGCAGAAUACCAAACAAAGUUGCUGAUGUUGACAAUCCCGAGGCUAGCAUUUCAGAAUUCAUGCUCAUGGUUCAGGUUUGCACAAAGGGAUUUGAUGAUGGAGUAAUAAAAGGUGAAUAUGAACGGAUGGCUCAAGCAUUUACUAUGGGAGCUGCUGGGGAAUCUCCUCCAUUGCCUCUGACAGCACUGGUAAUUCAGGAUCAUACAGGAAUAUCAAAUGUUGCACCACCCGAGGCUCCUCUACUAUCUGUGUCCAUUAGCAAUGAAGCAAGUGAUUCUGGGUUGCAGACAGCUAGUGAUGUUGUGGAACCAAGAAUUCAUGAUUACAUAAGCAAUCUUCGGUUCUCUAUAUCUCCAACAGCCUUCUUUCAGGUUAACACCCUUGCAGCUGAGAAAUUGUACUCCCUCGCUGGGGACUGGGCAGGCCUGGGCCCUGACACUCUACUUUUUGAUGUUUGCUGUGGGACUGGAACAAUUGGCCUGACCUUGGCUCAUCGUGUUGGAAUGGUUGUUGGCAUUGAAAUGAAUGCUUCCGCAAUUUCAGAUGCUCAAAGAAAUGCAGAAAUGAAUGGCAUUGUGAACUGCAGAUUUGUCUGUGGAAAGGCCGAGGAUGUUAUGGGUUCUCUAUUGAAAGAGUACCUUUCUUUACCUCAGAAACAAGACGAAAUUUCUGAUACAUUUCAAGGUAAAGAAGAUGAAAUGAAAUGUGCUGAAGAAACGAUAGAUUCUGAAGACUCUGUGCUUGGACCUGAAGGUAGCACUUGCCUAGAGAAUGAAAAUGGCAAUAGUACAAAUGAAAGCCAAAUUCAGAAGAAUAGUACGUCAGAAAAUAGAAAUGCCUUAAUGCAUCAAUUUAAAAAUGUUGUUGCUAUAGUGGAUCCUCCACGCGUUGGACUUCAUCCCACCGUUGGACAGGGAUUGUGAGCCAAAGUAUGAUCCCGCUCAUUCAGUAGUAACUCUGGUUCCCCUAGCACAGUUUUGGGCUUAAUCUGCUGGAGCUGCCUGUGGAAUUAUUUGACAGAUUGAGAGAAUGUGAUCAAGGUUCUAAGGACUCAUUCUCGUUUGAAGAGGCUUGUCUACAUCUCCUGUAAUCCUGAAAGUUUGGUGGCAAAUGCUAUUGAGCUCUGCACUCCAUCAGCCGAUAUAACUGAGAAGGGGAAUAAUAAAAACAACAGGGGCUGGAGAAACAUGAGUUCAGCUGGUCUUGCUCGACACAGAGCCAAGUCCAUGCCCAAUUCUGAGCCUUUUAAACCCUUGAAGGCAAUGGCCGUUGAUCUUUUCCCUCACACUUCACACUGUGAGCUGGUGAUGCUCCUUGAGAGGUAAAUAUGCCUUCUCUAGAUUUCCUUUCUUCAUUUUUUCUUGGAGACGGGGCAAGUGGAUGGUUUCUCAUUUAUUGUUAAAUUAAUUUAAAUUUGUAAUGAUUUUGAAGUAGGUGUACUUGUAGCAGCAAAAAAGUUGAAUCUUAUUUGUGAUUUUGGUUCCAUAAUCCCCAAGCCUUUUAAUGGCUGGGGAUGUGAUAUGGUAAUUUUGAUUUUGACAGUCUUUGAAA